UACAGAGGGUGCGAGCGUUAAUCGGAAUUACUGGGCGUAAAGCGUGCGUAGACGGUUAUUUAAGUCGGGUGUGAAAGCCCCGGGCUCAACCUGGGAAUUGCAUUCGAGACUGAAUAGCUAGGGUACGGUAGAGGGAAGCGGAAUUCCUGGUGUAGCGGUGAAAUGCGUAGAUAUCAGGAGGAACACCUGUGGCGAAAGCGGCUCACUGGACCACAACGUGACGCUGAUGCACGAAAGCUAGGGGGAGCAAACAGG
rnacentral:rRNA from 1 species